rnacentral:rRNA from 1 species
GCAAGUCGAACGGCAGCAUAGGAGCUUGCUCCUGAUGGCGAGUGGCGAACGGGUGAGUAAUAUAUCGGAACGUGCCCUGGAGUGGGGGAUAACUAGUCGAAAGAUUAGCUAAUACCGCAUACGAUCUAAGGAUGAAAGUGGGGGAUCGCAAGACCUCAUGCUCCUGGAGCGGCCGAUAUCUGAUUAGCUAGUUGGUGGGGUAAAAGCUCACCAAGGCGACGAUCAGUAGCUGGUCUGAGAGGACGACC